UGGGGAAUUUUGGACAAUGGGCGCAAGCCUGAUCCAGCCAUGCCGCGUGAGUGAAGAAGGCCUUCGGGUUGUAAAGCUCUUUCGGCCGGGAAGAAAUCGGGCAGGUCAAUAAUCUGUCUGGAUGACGGUACCGGAAGAAGAAGCACCGGCUAACUACGUGCCAGCAGCCGCGGUAAUACGUAGGGUGCGAGCGUUAAUCGGAAUUACUGGGCGUAAAGCGUGCGCAGGCGGCCACAUAAGACAGCUGUGAAAGCCCCGGGCUCAACCUGGGAAUGGCGGUUGUGACUGUGUGGCUAGAGUGUGGCAGAGGGGGGUGGAAUUCCACGUGUAGCAGUGAAAUGCGUAGAGAUGUGGAGGAACACCGAUGGCGAAGGCAGCCCCCUGGGUCGCCACUGACGCUCAUGCACGAAAGCGUGGGGAGCAAACAGG
rnacentral:rRNA from 1 species